GACGGGUGAGUAACGCGUGGGUAACCUGCCUCAUACAGGGGGAUAACAGUUAGAAAUGACUGCUAAUACCGCAUAAGCGCACAGGACCGCGUGGUCCGGUGUGAAAAACUCCGGUGGUAUGAGAUGGACCCGCGUCUGAUUAGCUGGUUGGCGGGGUAACGGCCCACCAAGGCGACGAUCAGUAGCCGACCUGAGAGGGUGGCCGGCCACAUUGGGACUGAGACACGGCCCAAACUCCUACGGGAGGCAGCAGUGGGGAAUAUUGCACAAUGGGGGAAACCCUGAUGCAGCAACGCCGCGUGAGUGAAGAAGUAUUUCGGUAUGUAAAGCUCUAUCAGCAGGGAAGAAAAAAGACGGUACCUGACUAAGAAGCCCCGGCUAACUACGUGCCAGCAGCCGCGGUAAUACGUAGGGGGCAAGCGUUAUCCGGAUUUACUGGGUGUAAAGGGAGCGUAGACGGCAUAGCAAGUCUGAAGUGAAAGCCCGUGGCUCAACCGCGGAACUGCUUUGGAAACUGUUAAGCUGGAGUACUGGAGAGGCAAGCGGAAUUCCUAGUGUAGCGGUGAAAUGCGUAGAUAUUAGGAGGAACACCAGUGGCGAAGGCGGCUUGCUGGACAGAGACUGACGUUGAGGCUCGAAAGCGUGGGGAGCAAACAGGAUUAGAUACCCUGGUAGUCCACGCGGUAAACGAUGAAUGCUAGGUGUUGGCGGGCAAAGCCCGUCGGUGCCGCCGCAAACGCAUUAAGCAUUCCACC
rnacentral:rRNA from 1 species